rnacentral:rRNA from 1 species
CCUACGGGGGGCUGCAGUGGGGAAUAUUGGGCAAUGGGGGCAACCCUGACCCAGCGACGCCGCGUGAAGGACGAAGGCCUUCGGGUUGUAAACUUCUUUGAUCAGGGACGAUAAUGACGGUACUCGAGGAACAAGCCACGGCUAACUACGUGCCAGCAGCCGCGGUAAUACGUAGGUGGCAAGCGUUAUCCGGAUUUACUGGGUGUAAAGGGCGUGUAGGCGGGUUUCCAAGUCGGAUGUGAAAAGGCAAGGCUCAACUUUGCUCGGUCAUCCGAAACUGGAGAUCUUGAGUGUCUGAGGGGAAAGCGGAAUUCCUGGUGGAGCGGUAAAAUGCGUAGAGAUCAGGAGGAACACCGGCGGCGAAGGCGGCUUUCUGGCCGACAACUGACGCUGAGGCGCGAAAGCGUGGGGAGCAAACAGGAUUAGAUACCCGGGUAGUC